rnacentral:rRNA from 1 species
CGGACGGGUGGAGUAACGCGUGGAAAACCUGCCGUAUACUGGGGGAUAACACUUAGAAAUAGGUGCUAAUACCGCAUAAGCGCACAGCUUCGCAUGAAGCGGUGUGAAAAACUCUGGUGGUAUACGAUGGUUCCGCGUCUGAUUAGCUAGUUGGUGGGGUAAUGGCCUACCAAGGCAACGAUCAGUAGCCGGCCUGAGAGGGUGAACGGCCACAUUGGGACUGAGACACGGCCCAAACUCCUACGGGAGGCAGCAG